rnacentral:lncRNA from 1 species
UGGCGGCCAUCUUGGAUAAUGGAUCGGCUACAAAGUAACAACACUUGGUCAGCACCACAUUAGGAACAUUCAUGCCAUGUUUGAUUUCAUUCCAUUCAGUGGUUCUCUAAAAGAAGUCAUUUGUAUGCAUUUCCCAUAGGGUCCUAUGUUAAACUAAGUCCCCUGCAUGCGGCCAUCUUGGAUGAUGGAUGGGCUACAAAGUAACAACACAUGGUCAGCACGGCAUAAGGAACAUUCAUGCAAUGUUUGGUUUCAUUCCAUUCAGUUGUUCUCUAAAAGAAGUCAUUUGUAUGCAUU